UGGAUGAUGAACUUAGAGGUGGUGGAACCCCAUCAGACGUCACUCAGGGGUGGUGGAACCCCAUCGGACGUCGCACAGGGGUGGUGGAACCCCAUCAGACGUCGCUUAGAGGUGGUGGAACCCCAUCAGACGUCGCUCAGAGGUGGUGGAAUGAAGGAAUGAUGAACUUAGAGGUGGUGGAACCCCAUCUGACGUCACUCAGAGGAGGUGGAAUGAAUGAAUGAUGAACUUAAGAGGUGGUGGAACCCCAUCAGACGUCACUCAGAGGUGGUGGAACCCCAUCGGACGUCGCGCAGGGGUGGUGGAACCCCAUCGGACGUCACUCAGAGGUGGUGGAACCCCAUCUGACGUCGCUCAGAGGUGGUGGAACCCCAUAUGAUGUCGCUCAGAGGUGGUGGAACCCCAUCGGACGUCGCUCAGGGGUGGUGGAACCCCAUCGGACGUCGCUCAGAGGUGGUGGAACCCCAUAUGACGUCGCUCAGAGGAGGUGGAAUGAAGGAAUGAUGAACUUAGAGGUGGUGGAACUCCAUCGGACGUCACUCAGAGGAGGUGGAAUGAAUGAAUGAUGAACUUAAGAGGUGGUGGAACCCCAUCGGACGUCGCUCAGAGGUGGUGGAACCCCAUCGGACGUCGCUCAGAGGUGGUGGAACCCCAUAUGACGUCGCUCAGAGGAGGUGGAAUGAAGGAAUGAUGAACUUAGAGGUGGUGGAACUCCAUCGGACGUCGCACAGAGGUGGUGGAAUGAAGGAAUGAUGAAC